rnacentral:rRNA from 1 species
GAUGAACGCUGGCGGCGUGCCUAAUACAUGCAAGUCGAGCGAACAGACGAUGAUCUUGCGCCUCUGACGUUAGCGGCGGACGGGUGAGUAACACGUGGAUAACCUACCUAUAAGACUGGGAUAACUUCGGGAAACCGGAGCUAAUACCGGAUAAUAUAUUGAACCGCAUGGUUGAAUAGUGAAAUACGGUUUUGCUGUCACUUAUAGAUGGAUCCGCGCCGCAUUAGCUAGUUGGUAAGGUAACGGCUUACCAAGGCAACGAUGCGUAGCCGACCUGAGAGGGUGAUCGGCCACACUGGAAGUGAGCCACCGUCCAGACUACUACGGGAGGCAGCAGUAGGGAAUCUUACGCAAUGGGCGAAAGCCUGACGGAGCAGCGCCGCGUGAGUGAUGAAGGUCUUCGGAUCGUAAAACUCUGUUAUUAGGGAAGAACAAAUGUGUAAGUAACUAUGCACGUAUUGACGGUACCUAAUCAGAAAGCAACGGCUAACUACGUG